UUUAUCGAAUCCAGUGGCAAACGGGUGAGUAACACGUAAACAACCUGCCUUCAGGAUGGGGACAACAGACGGAAACGACUGCUAAUACCGAAUACGUUCCACGGGCCGCAUGACCUGUGGAAGAAAGGGUAGCCUCUACCUGUAAGCUAUCGCCUGAAGAGGGGUUUGCGUCUGAUUAGGCAGUUGGUGAGGUAACGGCUCACCAAACCAACGAUCAGUAGCCGGUCUGAGAGGAUGAACGGCCACACUGGAACUGAGACACGGUCCAGACUCCUACGGGAGGCAGCAGUGGGGAAUCUUCCGCAAUGGACGAAAGUCUGACGGAGCAACGCCGCGUGAGUGAAGACGGCCUUCGGGUUGUAAAGCUCUGUGAUCCGGGACGAAAGAGCCUGAGGUUAAUAGCCUAAGGAAGUGACGGU
rnacentral:rRNA from 1 species